rnacentral:rRNA from 1 species
UACAGAGGUCUCAAGCGUUGUUCGGAUUCAUUGGGCGUAAAGGGUGCGUAGGCGGCGCGGUAAGUCGGGUGUGAAAUCUCGGAGCUUAACUCCGAAACUGCAUUCGAUACUGCGGUGCUUGAGGAUUGCAGAGGAGACUGGAAUUCCCGGUGUAGCGGUGAAAUGUGUAGAGAUCGGGAGGAACACCGGUGGCGAAGGCGGGUCUCUGGGCAAUUCCUGACGCUGAGGCGCGAAAGCGUGGGGAGCAAACGGG